rnacentral:rRNA from 1 species
CGUCUAUAUACGUAUAGCAUAUCAAUAAGCGGAGGAAAAGAAACUAACUAGGAUUCCCUUAGUAACGGCGAGUGAAGCGGGAAGAGCUCAAAUUUGAAAUCUUCAAGGUUCUACCUUGACGAAUUGUAGUUUAAAGAAGUGUUUUCUGUUGGAGUUUUGGUAAAAGUUCUUUGGAAUAGGACAUCAUAGAGGGUGAGAAUCCCGUAUUUGAUCAUUUCUUCCAGCUGUGUGAUACACUUUCAAGGAGUCGGAUUGUUUGGGAAUGCAGUCCAAAAUGGGUGGUAAAUUUCAUCUAAAGCUAAAUAUUGGCGAGAGACCGAUAGCGAACAAGUACCGUGAGGGAAAGAUGAAAAGAACUUUGAAAAGAGAGUUAAACAGUACGUGAAAUUGUCAAAAGGGAAGCGUUUGACACCAGUGUUGUUUUCUCGAAAAUCAAUUAAAAAUGACCGGAUUUUGUGUUGUAUUGACUUUAUCAGCUUUCUGCACUUUUUUCUUGUCUUUUUUAAUGCACUUUUCGUUUAACAAGUCAACAUCAAUUUCUUUUGUUGUAAAAGGGUCAUUGGAAGGUGGCUUUCAUUUCGGUGAAAGUGUUUAUAGCCUUUGACUUCUGCAAUCGGAGAGAUUGAGGUCUGCAGCGUAGAUCCUUCGGGGUUAGAUACAUUUGUGCUAAGUUAUAGUUUUUCAUAGACAACAUGUUGACUAUGAUUAAUCAUGUAGCUUACUCGCUUAUGCUAUUUUACCUACGCUUAGGAUGUUGAUAGUCACAGCGUGUAC